rnacentral:rRNA from 1 species
AAUACCCCAUAGGAAUGUAGUCUCGCAUGAGACAGCAUUUAAAGAUUUAUCACUUGAAGAUGGGCGUGCGUCUGAUUAGGUAGUUGGUGAGGUAACGGCUCACCAAGCCGACGAUCAGUAACUGGCGUGAGAGCGCGACCAGUCACACGGGCACUGAGACACGGGCCCGACUCCUACGGGAGGCAGCAGUAAGGAAUAUUGGUCAAUGGACGCAAGUCUGAACCAGCCAUGUUCGCGUGGAGGAUGAAUGCCCUCUGGGUUGUAAACUUCUUUUAUCUGGGACGAAACACUUCUUAUCUAAGGAGCUUGACGGUUCCAGAUUAUUAAGCACCGGCUAACUCCGUGCCAGCAGCUUUUUGUAAUACGGAGGGUGCAAGCGUUAUCCGGAUUCACUGGGUUUAAAGGGUGCGUAGGCGGAUGUGUAAGUCUGUGGUGAAAUCUCUGAGCUUAACUCAGAAACUGCCGUGGAUACUAUAUGUCUUGAAUGUUGUGGAGGUUAGCGGAAUAUGUCAUGUAGCGGUGAAAUGCUUAGAUAUGACAUA